rnacentral:rRNA from 1 species
AAACCAGCACCUCAAGUGGUUAGGAUGAUUAUUGGGCCUAAAGCAUCCGUAGCCGGCUCUGUAAGUUUUCGGUUAAAUCUGUACGCUUAACGUACAGGCUGCCGAGAAUACUGCAGAGCUAGGGAGUGGGAGAGGUAGACGGUACUCGGGAGGAAGUGGUAAAAUGCUUUGAUCUCUCGAUGACCACCUGUGGCGAAGGCGGUCUACCAGAACACGUCCGACGGUGAGGGAUGAAAGCUGGGGGAGCAAACCGGAUUAGAAACCCGUGUAGUCC